UCCCGGGUUGAUCCCGCCGGACCCUACUGCUAUCGGGGUGGGGCUAAAACAUGCUUGUCGAACGUUUCCAAGCCAUGGAGGAAACGUGGCAUACGGCUCAGUAACACGUGGCCAACUAACCCUCGGGACAGAGACAACCCCGGGAAACUGGGGCUAAUCCCUGAUAGGCGAUAAAGCCUGGAAUGACUUAUCACCCAAAGGCCUCUUGACCAUGCUUAAGAGGCGCCCAAGGACAAAGCCGCGACCGAUCAGGCUGUUGGUAGGGUAAUGGCCUACCAAACCUAUAACCGGUACGGGCCGUGAGAGCGGAAGCCCGGAGAUGGAUACUGAGACAAGGAUCCAGGCCCUACGGGGCGCAGCAGUUGCGAAAACUCCACAAUGCACGAAAGUGUGAUGGGGCUACCCCGAGUGCCGUCCGCUGAGGAUGGCUUUUCUCUGCUGUAAGGAUGCGGAGGAAUAAGGAGAGGGCAAGUCUGGCGUCAGCCGCCGCGGUAAUACCAGCUCUCCGAGUGGUAUGGAUGAUUAUUGGGCUUAAAGCGUCCGUAGCCGGCUUGACAAGUCUUCUGUUAAAUCCAGCAACCUAAUUGUUGGACUGCGGGAGAUACUGUCAGGCUAGAGAACGGGAGAGGUCGACGGUACUCUCAGGGUAGGAGUGAAAUCCUAUAAUCCUGGGAGGACCACCAGUGGCGUAGGCUGUCGGCUAGAACGUGUCUGACGGUGAGGGACGAAAGCUUGGGGAGCGAACCGGAUUAGAUACCCGGGUAGUCCAAGCUGUAAACGAUGCGAGCUAGGUGUUGGGGUGGCUACGUGCCACUUCAGUGCCGCAGGGAAGCCGUUAAGCUCGCCGCCUGGGGAGUACGGUCGCAAGGCUGAAACUUAAAGGAAUUGGCGGGGGAGCACCACAAGGGGUGAAGCUUGCGGUUUAAUUGGAGUCAACGCCGGA
rnacentral:rRNA from 1 species